CUUCCUUCCCAUAAAAAAACGUCUCCUUCCUUCUCAGAUAAUCCCCUCCGUCCCAGAUACGCUGCCGCCGGAGAGUUCGCCACCUGUGCCACUGCAGCAAAUGACGCCGGUAUGGGCGGUGGUUCGGCCUUGAGAACGCGGGUCGUCCGGCGGACCGCCCCCCUAUGCCUGGAUCCGACCUCCCGUCCACAUGCUUCAUUGGCGGCGGUGGCAUCUCACCCCCGCCGAGGACCCUGCCACCGACGUCUAGGAAGCACAGGCGCAGCGACCACGAUAGGGGGCCAUCGCUAUCGAGCCGCACGAUCCGGAGGUAGGCUGCGGUCGACGCAGUGUGGACGGUGCGGCGCGUGGACGCAACCUUGGCGAUGUGGAGCAGACGCGAGAGGUGGUCCUCGCGCUACGCCGCGCGAGCUACUGCCGCGCCCCGGACAACGACGACGAUUACCCACACCCGAAGGUGAGGCCUCCUAGCAAGCGGCGACGAGAAUUCAACCUUGGAGUAGGAGCGCACAGAGUGUUUUUUUGUUUUACGGUGUCCGUGUCGUGCAUUGGGGGUAUGAUUGGAGUGGGCUUACAUGGGGCUCGCCAUCGAUGAUGCCACUUCUCGGCUCUUGUCGAUGCGUGUUACCUUACAUCUGUUGUUGUUCGUGGCGAUUAGAAUGGGUAUUACGCUAGCGAUUGCAUCUGUUUGCUCUUGCUAGGACACGGGAUUGUCUGUCGUGUCCGCUUGUGCGAGAUUUGCGGGUGUUGGAUGGCAAUUGGUUCGUCCAUUAUUGAUCACUGACUCUCGGUUGGAUUUUCUCUUUCGCUGCUUUGUAGGCACUAGAAUAUUACUUGUCAGUUCUUCUAGGAUUGGUGAAAGAAGGUGAGUAGUUUUUGGAAUUUGAUUUUUUGUUAGUGUUUUGGUUUUAUUUUUUUACCCCAAAACCGUAGAACAAUUGUUCUACCGUAAUUUUCAUUAAUAAUCAUAUAUGUACAAGGGAUAAAAAAAGAAAACAAAAGGUCUAACCAACUCCCGUUUUCUCUAACAUGGAAAAUAAACCAGCUACUAAGAACUAAGAGAGAUGGGAGUUCAUCCAUUGCUCUAGGCAACCGAUGUUCUUAUGCUUGGUUCUAUGUUUCACUAGAUAGAGAUCAUGCUACAUUCCAUGCUUUCAGGCUUCCAGGGACGUGAUACGUCUUCAACGUAUCUAUAAUUUUUAUUGCUUCAUGCUAUAUUAUCUACUAUUUUAAAUAUUAUUGGGCUUUAUUAUCUACUUUUAUAUUAUUUUUGAGACUAACCUAUUAACCGAAGGCCCAGCCCAGAAUUGUUGUUUUUUGCCUGUUUUAGGUUUCGAAAAAAAGGAAUAUCAAACGGAGUCCAAACGGAAUGAAACCUUUAGGAACGUGAUUUUCUCACUGAAUACAACUCAGGAAACUUGCACCCUACGUCAAGCCAGCUAACAGGAGCCCACGAGGUAGGGGGUGCGCCUCCCCCCCUAGGCGCGCCCUCCACCCUCGUGGGGCCCCUGUUGCUCCACCGACGUACUUCUUCCUCCUAUAUAUAUCCACGUACCCCCAAACGAUCAGAACAGGAGCCAAAACCCUGAUUCCACCGCCGUAACUUUAUGUAUCCACAAGAUCCCAUCUUGGGGUCUGUUCCGGAGCUCCGCGGAGGGGGCAUCGAUCACGGAGGGCUUCUACAUCAACACCAUAGCCUCUCCGAUGAAGUGUGAGUAGUUUACUUCAGACCUACGGGUCCAUAGUUAGUACCUAGAGGGCUUCUUCUCUCUUUUUGGAUCUCAAUACAAUGUUCUCCCCCUCUCUUGUGGAGAUCUAUUCGAUGUAAUCUUCUUUUGGUGUGUUUGUUGAGACCGAUGAAUUGUGGGUUUAUGAUCAAGUCUAUCUAUGAAUAAUAUUUGAAUCUUCUCUGAA
rnacentral:rRNA from 1 species